rnacentral:rRNA from 1 species
GUGCACCAGGCGCGAAUACUUUACAAUGUGCGAAAGCACGAUAAGGGAACUCUGAGUGCCUCCUAAGGGAGGCUGUUCAGGUGUCUAAAAGCACCUGGAGUAAGGGCUGGGUAAGACCGGUGCCAGCCGCCGCGGUAACACCGGCAGCCCAGGUGGUAGCCACUUUUAUUGGGUCUAAAGCGUCCGUAGCCGGUUGAGUAAGUUCCUUGGGAAAUUUGGCUGCUCAACAGUCAAGCUCCCAGGGAAUACUGCUCGGACUUGGGGACCUGGGAGAGGUCAGAGGUACUCCAGGGGUAGGGUGAAAUCCAUUAAUCCCCUGGGGGACCACCGGUAGCGAAGGCGUCUGACCAGA